CUAUCCUGCAGUCGAGCGAUCUCUUCGGAGAGAGCGGCGGACGGGUGAGUACGCGUGGGUACCUGCCCUGUACACACGGAUAACAUACCGAAAGGUAUACUAAUACGGGAUAACAUACGAAAGUCGCAUGGCUUUUGUAUCAAAGCUCCGGCGGUACAGGAUGGACCCGCGUCUGAUUAGCUAGUUGGUAAGGUAAUGGCUUACCAAGGCAACGAUCAGUAGCCGACCUGAGAGGGUGAUCGGCCACACUGGAACUGAGACACGGUCCAGACUCCUACGGGAGGCAGCAGUGGGGAAUAUUGCACGAUGGGCGAAAGCCUGAUGCAACGAC
rnacentral:rRNA from 1 species